GGUUAAGCGACUAAGCGUACACGGUGGAUGCCCUGGCAGUCAGAGGCGAUGAAGGACGUGCUAAUCUGCGAUAAGCGUCGGUAAGGUGAUAUGAACCGUUAUAACCGGCGAUUUCCGAAUGGGGAAACCCAGUGUGUUUCGACACACUAUCAUUAACUGAAUCCAUAGGUUAAUGAGGCGAACCGGGGGAGCUGAAACAUCUAAGUACCCCGAGGAAAAGAAAUCAACCGAGAUUCCCCCAGUAGCGGCGAGCGAACGGGGAGGAGCCCAGAGCCUGAAUCAGUGUGUGUGUUAGUGGAAGCGUCUGGAAAGGCGCGCGAUACAGGGUGACAGCCCCGUACACAAAAAUGCACAUGCUGUGAGCUCGAUGAGUAGGGCGGGACACGUGGUAUCCUGUCUGAAUAUGGGGGGACCAUCCUCCAAGGCUAAAUACUCCUGACUGACCGAUAGUGAACCAGUACCGUGAGGGAAAGGCGAAAAGAACCCCGGCGAGGGGAGUGAAAAAGAACCUGAAACCGUGUACGUACAAGCAGUGGGAGCAUGCUUAGGCGUGUGACUGCGUACCUUUUGUAUAAUGGGUCAGCGACUUAUAUUCUGUAGCAAGGUUAACCGAAUAGGGGAGCCGAAGGGAAACCGAGUCUUAACUGGGCGUUAAGUUGCAGGGUAUAGACCCGAAACCCGGUGAUCUAGCCAUGGGCAGGUUGAAGGUUGGGUAACACUAACUGGAGGACCGAACCGACUAAUGUUGAAAAAUUAGCGGAUGACUUGUGGCUGGGGGUGAAAGGCCAAUCAAACCGGGAGAUAGCUGGUUCUCCCCGAAAGCUAUUUAGGUAGCGCCUCGUGAA
rnacentral:rRNA from 1 species